UACGUAGGGUGCGAGCGUUGUCCGGAAUUAUUGGGCGUAAAGAGCUCGUAGGCGGUGUGUCACGUCGGCCGUGAAAACCUGCAGCUUAACUGUGGGCGUGCGGUCGAUACGGGCAUCACUGGAGUUCGGCAGGGGAGACUGGAAUUCCUGGUGUAGCGGUGAAAUGCGCAGAUAGUCAGGAGGAACACCGGUGGCGAAGGCGGGUCUCUGGGCCGAUACUGACGCUGAGGAGCGAAAGCGUGGGGAGCAAACAGG
rnacentral:rRNA from 1 species